CCCCACGGCGCCCGGGAGCGGCGGGGCCCGGGGGCAGCGGCCGGCGCCCCGGCCCUGAACCACCUGGAGCGCCUUCCGGCCGGCCCCAACGGCGUCCCGAAGCACUCGUACUGGCUGGACCUGUGGCUCUUCAUCCUCCUGGACGUGAUGCUGUUCGUGUUCUUCUAUCUCUUGCCCUGACUGGCUUGCUGUUAUAUCAAGAUGUCUCAAGAAGUCAAGCAAAUUCUGGAAACGACAAACUUCUUGCAUGAAGAAGGAUUUCAUGGCAGCAGAAUUUCACACUCUGAAGGAACUUGUAUGCAUUUUGUUCACUCAUCUGGAAAACUCUCAAAUGAGUAAUAAUAACAGGACUCUUUUUCACAGCUACAUUUUUAAAAUUAGACCCAUUGGUUCAUGUUUAAAAACUCUUCAAGUAUCUGAUGACUUUCCAAGGCACCAUAUUAAAAAAAAAAUUUGUACUUAGAGGUUUGAUAUAUUCAUUAAAAAAGUAUAGUCUUUCCUUUAACAUUUUAAGGGUUGAUCAGUGUUUUCUCUGUGUAAAUAAUAGUGCAUUGAAAUGAGGCAUUGAAAUAUUCAAAAGUAACUUGUUCGAAAGCAAAUCAAAUAUUUUUGAGAGAGGAAACCAGUAUUGUAGGUUGUCUAGAAAUUUAUAUAUAACCUCUAACUAUCCACCUAUAUAUAAAUAACACAAAAGGUAACUGCAAAUAGAGGCCACCUGUGUUCGCUGUAGUGCUCUCUGACAUUGAGACUCGGGUAAAAAACAAUCUUGGUUGACUGUGAGAUAUAGUCAUUGAGAAAGUAAUAAGAUUUAUAGUAGUGGAAAACUAUGGAACGUAUCCUCAUACCACAGUCCCUUCCUUUAAACCUCCUAAAAUAGCAUUGUAUGUUUCUAACCCAGUUUACCUUUAAAAAUUUUCUGAUCCUUGUGCUUGAACUCAGGGCAUAGGUGCGGUCCCUGAGCUUUUUUUGCUCAAGGGUAGUACUCUACCACUUGAGCCACACCUCUCCUAGUGAUUUUGUUUUGUUUUUUAAGUUUAUUGGAGAUAAGAGUCUCUUUAACUCUCCCAGACUAGAGUCUUUUUAACUUUCCUGCCUGGGGUUGACUUUGAAGCCGAGUCUUCAGAUCUCAGCCUUCUGAGUAACUAGGAUUGUAAGUGUGAAAUCAUCACUGCCUGGCUUUUAUUUGUAUCUUAAGUAUGCUUGUAGUCAAAAUAUUUGCACAAUGCCUUGUGGUGUUUACUCAUUCCACUCAUUCCAUGUCACUUCUAUCCAAUCCCUGCCUUGAUAAAGUUUACUUUCCCACUAGAUAUUUUCUUUUUACAAUUGAAAAAAAAUUUUAACCAGAAAGAAUUCACAUUCCUGGUUAGUCACCAAACAUUUAAUCAGAAGGGCCUCACUCCCAAAGAAGCUUCUAUAAACACUUUGGGAGUUAUUUCUAUUGGCCCUGAAGGUCUUAUACAAUGGCUUUUGUAGUUGAAAUCAUAAAUAUUUGAGAGCUAUUCCUUUACGAUCAAGGCAUAAGAUCCAGUAAACUGUACAUUCCCUACCUUUCCAAAUGGCUCAUGGCUAGAAUCAGGUCUGAAAUUUAUUUUGGAGGAUGUUUUUUCUUUUGUGGCACUGGGAUUUGAACUCAGUCUCAAGCUUGAUAGGUCAGUUCCCACCACUUAACCAGAUACCAAGGUUUUUGCUUUUGCUGGGGGGGCGGGGAGGCUGGUAUCAGACCUUGAUUCUCUUCUACCCAGCUGGCUGGGGCCAUAAACACAUACCACCACCCACGCUUACUUUUGAAAUAAGGUCCCUAAGUGGGCUGUCCUUGAAUCAGGAUUUUCCUGCUUGUAUUUCUUGAGUGGUUAGAAUUACAGGUAUGCAUCUGUACUGUACCUGGCCGUUUUGCAGAAUUAUAAUUGGCUUACUGACUAUAAGCUUAAUAAUGUCUCUAUAGUAUGGUUGCAUUUGUCAAGAGAACCUUUUGUGAAAAUUGUGGCGCAAGAAUCUAGACUCUAAAGCAACUCUAGAGCUGGAGUUAACCAGAUUGUGUGGCCUGUUUUUGCAUUGUUUGCUGGUCAUUUCCUCUAAUAAACUUUGGACUAAUGUA